AUUGAACGCUGGCGGCAUGCCUUACACAUGCAAGUCGAACGGCAGCGGACCUUCGGGUGCCGGCGAGUGGCGAACGGGUGAGUAAUGUAUCGGAACGUACCUUUCAGUGGGGGAUAACGUAGCGAAAGUUACGCUAAUACCGCAUAUUCUGUGAGCAGGAAAGCAGGGGAUCGCAAGACCUUGCGCUGAUUGAGCGGCCGAUAUCAGAAUUAGCUAGUUGGUGAGGGAAAGACUUACCAAGGCGACGACCUGUAGCGGGUCUGAGAGGAUGAUUCGCCACACUGGAACUGAGACACGGUCCAGACUCCUACGGGAGGCAGCAGUCGAGAGGCUUCGGCAAUGGGGGAAACCCUGACCGAGCGACGCCGCGUGAGCGAUGAAGCCCUUCGGGGUGUAAAGCUCUUUUGUUGGGGAAGAAUGGCAUUCGAUCCAAUACAUCGAAUGUUUGACGGUACCCGACGAAUAAGCUCCGGCUAACUCCGUGCCAGCCGCCGCGGUAAGAC
rnacentral:rRNA from 1 species